rnacentral:antisense_RNA from 1 species
GUGCUGUUCUGUGUAAGUGUACCGCAACUGCAGGGUGCUCGCCUCCACUGCCAACUGAUGAUACACUAAAGAAAGCCCGUUUUUUAUCCAGAUGUAAAAUGAAGCUGCACCCCUCCUAUACCUGCCGGAAACUACAUCUCUCUGCACACACCCUGGGGUAAUACGCACUGCACCCAGCGAGUUACCUGGAAUACGUUUACUAAAUCGACAGGAAGAAGGAAAGAUCAAUGCGAUUCAAGUGCUGACGGUUGUACUUGUGAAGGAAAAAAACAAAUGCAAGCCGGGAAGUCCCCAGUGGUGCCUGCACCUAGGAGGCGACUGCAACGGAUGGAUGCGGGGGUGGAUAAUCAGCAACCCCCCAAGACUGUGCCUGCUGCACAACUACAGAACACAGUGGAAGACACGCUGAACUUUGAGCCAGAAGGUUGACUUUCUAGCUAUGGGGACUUGGCCAAACCUCCUCAGAGCUUCAGUUUUCUCAUCUGUAAAAUAGGGAUCUUAAUCCCUACCAAUCUCACAGGACUGCUGAGAGUAUCAGAUGAGGUAAGUAUAUGAAAUAGAUGUGCAAAUCUGUGUGAAGGCCUCCAGAGAGAAAUAGUGCAUGCAGGUGGCAUUAGAGACAUAGAUUCUAGUCCAGGCUUUGCAACCAAAUUAUUAUGUAAUCUUUUGUCUUGAUCAUCUUGCCUCUCUGGACAUUGAUUUCUUCAUCAGUUAAAUGAAAAGACACCUUUCAGCCCUGACCACUCCCAAACCUUCAGGACCCCCACUGGGUCGAGAUAGGAGCAGCCACAGGCAAGGUCACCCAGGACAGGAGUUAGAGCUGAAUUGUGCAAUAUGAGUGAGGUGUUCCUCUCAGCUUCAAAACCAGCUCUGGGUUGUAAACAAGCUACCACUUCCUCUGUCCCUCUGAAGUAACAUCAAAUUUGGGGUGCAGGAUGGAAGACAGUACCAUAUUCCCCUCUGUCCCAGCUUGCAUGGCCUUGCUCAGAUGCUGCCCAGCAUCAUGACGAAAAUCAACAUGCAUGGAAAUGUAAUGAUAGACUCACAGCUGUGUAUAAAACAGUCUUAAGCCUGUUGUCAGACUUUAAACUGCCCUCCUCUGUCCUUCUGCCCAUCCUAGGCCACUGGAGAUGGAGGUAAAGGACAAACACACAGAUGUCACAGUGUCCCACAUUUUUAUCCAGGUGGAGUCAUGUUUAAAAUAGCAGCAAGGACAGCCACGAAGAGGAAAAAACUCCCCAAAGCCUAAUUUGACUUCUUUCUGUUCUUUCUCUUCCUGCGGGCUUCUCACAUGCUCACCUCCUGGCUGGCCAACUUCCAUUCAUCCUUCAGGUUUCAGAGCAGCCUCCUUAGGCACCUAGGCUAGGUUGCAGCCCUCACUCUAAGGCUCUAGUCCCCUGUAGCCUUUGAUACUUCCUCUCUGGUCACUUGCUUAAUCUCCAUCUUCCUCUUAAUCUACGAGCAGCAGAAUGACAAAACCAGUCUAUCUCAUUCAAGUAUAGAUGCCCAGUGCCCAGCAUACACUUGGCACAUGGUGGCACUCAAUGAUAUUUAUAGGAUGCAUGCAUUUAAAUGAAGGUGAGAGGUGACACCACCUUUGUCCUGGUGGCAAUGGUUGGUUAAGGGGCCAAGGUAGUUGAAUCUCAGAUCUUUUCUUAUCACCAUCUGCUUCCCACCUCGUUUUCUCCCCCAAAGCAGGCCUCUCUGAGUCACGCAACCAGACCAGAGUCAUGAAAGCAGAAAAGGGACUUCCCUGCCCUUAGGAUAGUAAACAUUGUUCCCUCUUCCAUGUUACUUUGGCCAAAUAACUACCAUUUACCUCACCAGCUCAGGCAAAAUAGAAGUACCCGCCUGCCCCCAAAGAAAUAACUCCUUCUCCUGCUGUUGCCAAAAUCUACUUCAGUUAGGAAAGCAUCCAAGAUAAUUGAUGAGGUUUAAAAUACAAAUGCACUCAGAGCAUAGAAUAAGUAACUUAUAUUCUCACUCUUGAUUAAAUUAAAUCCAAAGAGGAGCUUCUGGAAAUAGCAGUAACUUAUUUUGCAUAGCAGUGAUUUACAUUUGCAUAACAUUAUAACAGCAUUAUCUAUCUCAUUCCAUCGCACAGCAACCCUUUGAAGUGGGCCAAAGCGAGAAUUAUUGUCACCCCCAUUUUACAGACCUUAAGCAUUGAAAUUCAGAAAGGAAGACUAUUUGCUUUGCCUAAAGUUAAACAGGCUUGCUAACUUACUGUUAGUAAGGGAUAAAUUUGAACCCAGCCUCCCUUUUUCUGCCACAUCUGAUACCUCCCUUAGGAAGAGAAGAGCUGGUAUUUCAAGUCCUGGAUAUAGUGGAACAGUGGGAACCAGGGCAGAAAGAAGGAAAGGGAGUGGCUCUAGGCCUCACCUCCUUCACAACUCAGCCCUGCCUUAAUCAGCGCUGUCUCCCUUCCCAGGUACCUAGCCUAGGUGAGAUGCUACAUCUGCUUGACCCUCACGCCCUGACUGGGACAAGUUAGCAGUAAUGUUACAGUUACAAAGCUCACAAGUCCAGUCCUGUUUUCUAUACUUUUCUAGGAGAUGAAUUUAGUGAGGGAUUUGGUUUCCAAUGUGUUUCAAAACCUGUGAGAGAGCGUGAGUUUUAGAAGGUCCCUCGGACAGGCACAGUGACUUAUGCCCUUAAUCCCAGCACUUACGGAGGCCAAGGCGGGAGGAUCAUUUGAACCCAGGAGUUCAAGACCAGCCUGGGCAAUGUGUCAAAACCCCACCUCUACAAAAAAUACAAACAUGAGCCAGGCAUGGUAGCACAUGCCUGUAGUCCCAGCUACUUAGGAAGCUGAGUGGGGAGGAUCGCUUGAGCCCAGGAGGUCAGGGCUGCAGUGAGCUGAGAUCGCACCACUGCACUCCAGCCUGGGUGACAGAGAGGGACCCUGUCUC